CCCUUAGAUGUUCUGGGCCGCACGCGCGCUACACUGAUGCAUUCAACGAGUCUAAAACCUGGUCUGAUAGGGCUGGGUAAUCUUUUGAAUGUGCAUCGUGAUUGGGAUAGAUGAUUGCAAUUCUUCAUCUUCAACGAGGAAUGCCUAGUAAACGCAAGUCAUCAGCUUGCAUUGAUUACGUCCCUGCCCUUUGUACACACCGCCCGUCGCUCCUACCGAUUGAAUGUUCCGAUGAAUACCAUGGACUGAGAGUAUGAAUGGGUUCGCCUGUUUCUGCUUCUCGGGAAGUGGAGUAAAUCUUAACAUUUAGAGGAAGGAGAAGUCGUAACA
rnacentral:rRNA from 1 species